CCUACGGGAGGCAGCAGUGGGGAAUAUUGGGCAAUGGGCGCAAGCCUGACCCAGCAACGCCGCGUGAAGGAAGAAGGCUUUCUGGUUGUAAACUUCUUUUGUCAGGGACGAAGCAAGUGACGGUACCUGACGAAUAAGCCACGGCUAACUACGUGCCAGCAGCCGCGGUAAUACGUAGGUGGCAAGCGUUCUCCGGAUUCAUUGGGUGUAAAGGGCGUGUAGGCGGGAAUGCAAGUCAGAUGUGAAAACUAUGGGCUCAACCCAUAGCCUGCAUUUGAAACUGUAGUUCUUGAGUGCUGGAGAGGCAAUCGGAAUUCCGUGUGUAGCGGUGAAAUGCGUAGAUAUACGGAGGAACACCAGUGGCGAAGGCGGAUUGCUGGACAGUAACUGACGCUGAGGCGCGAAAGCGUGGGGAGCAAACAGGAUUAGAUACCCGUGUAGUC
rnacentral:rRNA from 1 species